rnacentral:tRNA from 1 species
CGGGGCGUAGCGAAGCCUGGUAUCGCGCGUGCUUUGGGGGCACGAGAUCACCGGUUCAAAUCCGGUCGCCCCGA